UUCGCAAUGCCCGAAAGGGUGACGAAGCGACGCCGCGUGAGCGAAGAAGGCCCUAGGGUUGUAAAGCUCUGUCGAGGGUUAUGAAAUAUAAGUGAGAUAAUACCUCAUUUAUUUGACAAAGGCCCCAAAGGAAGUCACGGCUAACUCUGUGCCAGCAGCCGCGGUAAUACAGAGGUGGCGAGCGUUGUUCGGUAUUAUUGGGCGUAAAGAGCACGUAGGUGGUUUUGUAAGUCAGGUGUGAAAGCCUUCUGUUCAAAGGAAGAACGGCAUCUGAAACUGCAGAUCUUGAGUGUGGGAGGGGAGAGUGGAACUUCUGGUGGAGCGGUGAAAUGCGUAGAUAUCAGAAGGAACGUCGGCGGCGAAAGCGACUCUCUGGCCUAUUACUGACACUGAGGUGCGAAAGUUAGGGGAGCAAACGGGAUUAGAUACCCCGGUAGUCCUAACCGUAAACGAUGGGCACUAAGUAGAGGGGUUUU
rnacentral:rRNA from 1 species